CCCUUAGAUGUUCUGGGCCGCACGCGCGCUACACUGACGAAUGCAACGAGCUUAUAACCUUGGCCGAAAGGUCUGGGUAAUCUCCAAAUUUCGUCGUGAUGGGGAUAGAUUAUUGCAAUUAUUAAUCUUCAACGAGGAAUGCCUAGUAAGCGUGAUUCAUCAAAUCGCGUUGAUUACGUCCCUGCCCUUUGUACACACCGCCCGUCGCUCCUACCGAUUGAGUGUGUUGGUGAGGAGUUUGGAUUGGCCUCGGAAGGUGGUUCGCCACCGUCCGUAGCUGAGAAGUUCUCCAAACCGCCCCACUUAGAGGAAGGAGAAGUCGUANCA
rnacentral:rRNA from 1 species